rnacentral:rRNA from 1 species
GCUGGCGGCAUGCCUUACACAUGCAAGUCGAACGGUAACAGGCCGCAAGGUGCUGACGAGUGGCGAACGGGUGAGUAAUGCAUCGGAACGUGCCCAGUCGUGGGGGAUAACUGCUCGAAAGAGCAGCUAAUACCGCAUACGACCUGAGGGUGAAAGCGGGGGACCGAAAGGCCUCGCGCGAUUGGAGCGGCCGAUGUCAGAUUAGGUAGUUGGUGGGGUAAAGGCCUACCAAGCCGACGAUCUGUAGUUGGUCUGAGAGGACGACCAGCCACACUGGGACUGAGACACGGCCCAGACUCCUACGGGAGGCAGCAGUGGGGAAUUUUGGACAAUGGGGGCAACCCUGAUCCAGCAAUGCCGCGUGCAGGAAGAAGGCCUUCGGGUUGUAAACUGCUUUUGUCAGGGAAGAAAUC